rnacentral:rRNA from 1 species
CACGGGGGGAGCAAGCGUUGUUCGGAAUCACUGGGCGUAAAGGGCGUGUAGGCGGUCAGGUAAGUGGGACGUGAAAUCCCUCGGCUCACCCGAGGACCUGCGUCCCAUACUGCUUGGCUUGAGUAUGGGAGAGGAUGAGGGAAUUCCUGGUGUAGCGGUGAAAUGCGCAGAUAUCAGGAGGAACACCAAUGGCGAAGGCAGCUCGCUGGGACGGUACUGACGCUGAGGCGCGAAAGCGUGGGGAGCAAACAGG